GACGAACGCUGGCGGCGUGCCUAAUACAUGCAAGUUGAGCGCUGAAGGUUGGUACUUGUACCAACUGGAUGAGCAGCGAACGGGUGAGUAACGCGUGGGGAAUCUGCCUUUGAGCGGGGGGCAACAUUUGGAAACGAAUGCUAAUACCGCAUAAAAACUUUAAACACAAGUUUUAAGUUUGAAAGAUGCAAUUGCAUCACUCAAAGAUGAUCCCGCGUUGUAUUAGCUAGUUGGUGAGGUAAAGGCUCACCAAGGCGAUGAUACAUAGCCGACCUGAGAGGGUGAUCGGCCACAUUGGGACUGAGACACGGCCCAAACUCCUACGGGAGGCAGCAGUAGGGAAUCUUCGGCAAUGGACGAAAGGCUGACCGAGCAACGCCGCGUGAGUGAAGAAGGUUUUCGGAUCGUAAAACUCUGUUGGUAGAGAAGAACGUUGGUGAGAGUGGAAAGCUCAUCAAGUGACGGUAACUACCCAGAAAGGGACGGCUAACUACGUG
rnacentral:rRNA from 1 species